rnacentral:rRNA from 1 species
GUGAAAUCGUUGAAGUGGAACCGGAGAGAGUUGACGUAGUAUGGUGGAUAAGUAUUGCAAGAAUCGCUUCAAACAAUGAAUGUGAUCGAGUAAUAUGUACGUCACCAAAGACUGCGCUGACAGCAUCGACUACACGCUCUGAACUGUGUUGACAUGUUGCCUACUCUAGUAUAUAGARUGGUGUCUUGUGUUACGUGGUGAAGUUUGUUGUUAUGUUGUUGAUGUUGAUAAGUAUGAUUAUACACCAAGUAUAAUUAUGUCAGUGUAAAAGUCAACCACCUCUCCGACCCGUCUUGAAACACGGACCGAGGAGUGUAACUUGUACGCGAGUCAUUGGGUGGAAAAACCUUAAGGCGAAACGAAAGUGAAGGCACGGUUAACCGGCUGACAUGGGAAACGUGCGGUAUUGUUAGCGAGACGUUACACCAUGGCCCUGUCUUGUCUGCAUGCAGAUGGGCAGCGGUAGAGCGUACAGGUUGCGACCCGAAAGAUGGUGAACUAUGCCUGAGCAGGACGAAGUCAGAGGAAACUCUGGUGGAAGUCCGUAUCGGUUCUGACGUGCAAAUCGAUCGAUAGACUUG